AAUUUCCUAUGUUUGCUACUCCCAUGUUGACACGUUGCUUACUACAAUUAACUUUAAUUUUUAUUUUAUUCAUAUAUACGGGCAGGGUCGUGUCUGUAUACAGGAAUAAUUGUUCUUUUGUUAAAAAUGUCUUAUUUUCUGUUUAUGCAAUGUCUAAAUUAGAAAACAUACAUACGCGUACCAUACCAGUCGGAUGUGUAUCCGCAAGUAUUCAGAUACUAGAUUUAACAAUUUCUUUGUUAAACUGAAAAACUAGAGAUUGCGAUUGAGAGAGAAAGCGAAUGACGCAACCGAGUUCAAUAACAGACAGACCAAUUACGGAUAACGAUAAUUAAUAUGCGUCCCAACUACGUGAGUUCUCUGUCAUCGAGAUAUCGUGGCAACUAGUUAAUUAAAGCGGACACUGAGCGAUUCAUCUGUUAACGAUCAAAUUACCGUCACUAUUAAUGGAAAGUGAAACGAAAGCUUCAGACUGCAGGAUAUUCAUUCGAAUCGUCACGAGCCGCUGCAUAUUGGAGUAGACACUUAGGCAAAACGAGAUGCGGCACGCGUCACUGCAGCACCCAACAGCACCCUAUUCCUCUCCAGAGUGCGUGUCUGUAUGCGGUGACCCGCGGGAAUAACUAGUAAUGAGAGCUGCGCGAAGUCGCAAUACGUCAUGGUAGGAAUCGAGCGGAUCUCCAUUUAUUUAGACGCAUCCAUAUGGUAACCGACGAACCGUUUCACCCGCGAAACGAAUUUUACGUAUAGAACAUGGAUCGAAUCUCGUCUCGAUUUCACGAGUCAAACGUUUAUGCUAAUGCACUGCGAUUGCGGUUUAUGCUAAUCUUACGACCCUCUGCAGGGGCUUAUUCUUUAUCGCAUAAUAGAUUUCUUUUCCAGAUAUCGUAAUUUAUUUAACCCGUUGUUCAUAAAACAUAUCACGAAACAUAUAACCGAAUGAGAUGUAAGAAUAAACUAAAAUUUCUGGUAUUUUAAUAUAAUAAUAUGAAUAACCAAAAAGUUUCUUAUAUUAAAUUUCAAUACUUUAAGAUUAUCUACAUACGUACAAAUAAAAUUCUGAUAGUAAAUUCUGAAAUUCUUAUAGUUUAUGUCCAGUUUUAAGUUUGGGACAAAUUGAUGAGUCCAUUGAAACUCUUCAUGGUGUAUUACAUAUUUCCGAUUAUAUAAUUUAUAAUCAUCUUUCAUAUGAGAUAAUGUCUGAUAGUUACUAAUUUGGAAUAUUUGCCAGAUUAUGUUAAAAACGGUAAGACAUUAAGAACGGUAUAUUUCGAUUAAACGUGUCCUUCGAGUCCAGUGCAUAACGUAUUUUCUCAUGUCAGUCGGACGUAUCAGUAUCGCGUGUUGAAUAAAAGGGAGCCUCUAUCCUCAGUGCAUUGUUGCUGGAAAGUCGAUCGACGCAAGACGUUCGAAGCGCACGAAAUAACGAUCGCUUUGUCAGGAAAGUUGAGCGAAAUUAUUAUCACCGUGUACAAUGUACCUCGAGUAUAAAAGCAUCGGUUAACAUCGAAUUGGGUCAAGUGCUAGCAUACAAUUAACGAUAACCUUGAUAUCAAGCAUCGUGCAAGAUUUAUCGUUCUUAUUUUACGUCCGAAGCAUCUGAGCAUUCCUCGAUAUUCGUAUUUCUUUGUUUCGCGGACGUUGAUUUCAUCUGCUGUCCCUUUUCCCUCCCUGCGAAGGUUACUAUCGAUUAUCCGGUACAUGAGACUUACAUUGAUUUUCGUGAAAAAUCGACUUCGUUACACCCACGAAAACUGAACUAAACGCCGCUUCGUUACCAAUGACGUUUGUACUAAAUGUUUUCCAGUGAUGGAAAAUUGCGCUACAGAGUUAAACAACACAGGAGAAGGUUGAAUUGAAUUUGUAAUUAUUUAGUAGGCAUCGUGAAUAUUCUAACACGAUAUGAACGAUUUCUCACGUUGAUAAGCUGGAAGUGCACGACUGAUAAAUGAACCCUCGCGAGAAGGGUGUCGCUUAUCUUACCACUAAAAAAAUCGUUCGCUAACGAGCCCAUCCAAAAUGCUCGCAUGAUUCGCUUUCUUUUUGUCAUCAUCAGCUACACACAAAAAGGGAUGAUUAGCGUUACGUAGGUUGAGUCUCCUAAAUUUGGUUCUCUAUACAUGUACAAUUCUACUAAAAUAUUUACAGUUUCUAAAAUCUAAUAUUGAUUUCUUGUAAAUAUCUCUUUCCAUCUACCACUCUCGUUCUAUUUGCAACGAAGCAAUUUGGAUAAAAUUUGCAGAUCGCGACUGAUUCGAUGGUUCACGAAAAUUUGCGAGCGUGCACGCACGCACGCUGUUGACUCGUGCUAAUAAGGCGUGGCAUCGAACCCCAUUCACGUGUGUGUGUUUAUUCUACGGAACGAGUGCGUGUACAGCAGUAGAAGCAAAUAUACGAAGAGCUGGUCGCGGCUUUCGCUGUCAAAGAGCCUCUUUAGCGAUCAUCGCUACCCUAUCCUACGACCCCAAAUCUACUAGCUCUCGCCAACUACUCAUCGGUUCCCCCGUACGAAUUCAUCUCUCACUCGGUUCUCAAUUCUGACGCUGCAUGACAUGACUGCGUAAAACGAUCAGAAUUAUUUUUAGUCGUUACGUUAUCAUCCACUCGUUCAACCUACUUUCCCUAUAUAAUAAACUGGCUAAAAUCCUUUUUAUAGCCAGGUUCUUCCACCGUUCCCUAGUUCACCCACCAUGCGGCACUAAUGCGCACUCGUACGCCAGGUUACAUGGUUCUUUCUUUUAUUCACUCUACAGAAAUUAGAACGCCGCAUACGGGUUAAUUAUAAAAAGGGAACUGGCCGCGAAUCGAUAGCGGGUCCUAUCAAGGGAGUCGCCUCUUAUCGAGGCGCCGCUAAAAAUGUGUGCAGCAAUGCAGCCUGCAUGGGGUGUGAUUCGUGGGUCACGUGCGUGCUACCCCGCGGGACCCCAUCCCCUCAGCCACUGUGCAAGUAUGCGAGCGGUACCUAGGGACGUUCACCCUUCGGUUUUAAUUGCAAGGGGAAUCGACCACCUCUUUCUUCUGUUGCCGGAAGGAGAAGUUCUGGAGGGAAAAGGAUUACCUAAAAGCAUUGCGUCUUUCUCAAUUCAUAACGAUAUUCACCCCGUUGCGAUAAUUUUUAGAGGAAAUCUGAGUAAUCAAGUUAUGCGACUUCCAAGGAUGGAAGAUAUGUUUUCAUGUGAAAUAAACUGCAGAUUUUUGUUCAAAAUUAAACUUUGGUAUCAUUUGGAAUAACGAAUUUUAUAUGAACAUUUGUUUUAGCAUUUAAAUAUUGAAAUAUGGCAUUCAUCUUUUGAUAUUUUGAAUAGUUUUACGAAACAAAAAUUUGUUUAUAGAAUGACUUGAUUGAGUCAUUGAAGUUCAUAGCAUGCAUCAAACAUGAAACAUUUUGGGAUAUGGAUAACAAAAUUACAUUAUAAGAUAAAGUUUCACGUAAUUAUUACUGGUAUAUCGCGAUGGAUUAUAGCUGUAUCAGCUUAUUGUAAGUCUCGAUACGAGUUACGUAAAACUUUGAUCGAUUCCAUGCCACGAAACCGAAUCAACCACUAUUAUUAAAUUCUUUUUUCAUCCCCUCUGGGAUUUAGUUUCAAAGUAUGCUACCAUACAAGCAUACCUCGUGCAAAAGCGUAAGAGGAAAUGAGCUUCUCCUGAGAAUCUCAAUUGUCGGCUCUUGCCGAAGAAAAGUUUAGAGGCCGACCGUUUCGGUGAGAUCGCUGUAUAAUUGGAGUCGCGGCGACUUUGACGCAGCAAGUGGGGCAAUCGGGUGCUCUGAAUAAUUUCCCGUCGUGUGCUUUUCCGCCACUUCUCCUUGCGGCUGCCACUUAAUUCCACGUAAAACGGCGCGCGUGACAACGACGGGUCAUCGAAGCGGCCGUAAUGGCGAGAGCACUUUCUCGGAAAUUGCGUUCCUCGUAACGAAACAGGGCGGAAAAAUGCAAAAAAGAUGUGUUAAAACGGCAAGAAAUAAUAAAAAACAAUGCGUUGUGUUACGCAAAAGUAAUUUGUACUUUCGGUAGUUGCCGGUUCUUUGAAUUUGCGCACAUUAUAACUACAAUCCUUCACAUGAAAAUUUGUUAAAUGUAAUCCUAAACACGUUGAAACGUUUCUAUGGACAUCUAUUUACAUUCCUGACAGAUAUUUAUAUUAGAUAAUAUAAGAGACGGAAAAACGUGAAAAGGAUCGAGGAAAAUAAUAAAACUGAUUACCUUCAA